CAGCCCCGCCUGGCCUGCGCCCGGCUCUGAGCGGAGAUUUCUGCCAAAAACACCCGCAAGCGUGUUUGCCUUGCAGGGGGGGGCACACAGCCGGCCGGCUCGGGAGGGAGCCGGUGCCCCGCUGCGGGACUGCUGAGCAUUCCUGGGAUGCAUUGGGUAAGACAGGAAUGUGGCUGUGUACAUUUAUGAGACCUCUUCCCAAGCCCCGCUUCCAGGAGAAGUGAGUUGAAGGUGGAGCACAAACCGAGAAGGAAGGGCUGUCCUGGUCCCCUCUGUGUCCUUAGGAGUGCAGUGUGGCCACAGCCACCCUUUCCCAUCCCCAGAGGGAAAUUUCUGCAAUACUGUCCUGGGUGGUGUCUGGGACGUCUGGAGCUGUGUUUCUAAGCAUGAAGCUAUUGCUUGAAAGCAAUUUCUCUUUCUCUUUGAAAGGGCUUCUGCAGUGUUUGGGAUCAAGGUGCAGCUGCCAUCCUGCAGCAUCCCCACAGCUUCAGGUCUCCUGGGUGCUUCCCCCUCUCUGGAGACAGGAGCACAGGCUUGUUUCCCUUUGGACCUGGAGAUUUCAGCUGUGCUAAUUGUCCUUUGCAGCAGUUAGCUCAGCUCCUGGGCUGGCCAGGUGGUCAGCACAAUUUGCUCAGGAGCAAAGGGGAAAACAGCUGUAGUGGUAAGCAGUUUCUGCAAGGGUCCAGCUUUGGGCACUCACUCUGUUCCUGCUGUUUCAAACAAGAUGAGUAUUUUAUGCUCCUCUGCAAGGUUGCUUUCAACCCUCAACCAGUUCACAGACAUGCCCUUUCUUCUCCUGCCAUUUAACUGGGGGAAUUUUCCCCCUAGGGAGGCCUUGGUGCCCCUUUCUUUUGCCAUUUAUGAAGCCUCCCUUCAGUGGUGAUUGUAAUGUCUUGUUUUCCUGAUGGGCUGGGACUGAGCACGGCUGCAGCAGUGACUCAGAGGCUCAGACACUGAUACUCUCCUCCCUGGUGAGACAGGACAAAUACAGCCUGCUUGGGAAAUGGCAGAGGGGAAUGGUCUCUCCUUUCCCAGCUGGCCACGGAGGCAAAAGGGAGCAGAUUCAUGUGGUGCCUUCAAAGAUGACCAAUUCCUUGUAGGGAGGGAGUGUAAUGCUCUCAAAUGAGCUGUAAUCACACGAGCAGCAAGGAUGCUGAUGCCCCCCCAAAUGCAUUCAGUGAGUCAUUCCAAGUGCACCACUCUGGGGUUCUGAAGUCCUCUUAAUGCUCUGCCAAGGAGGCUGCUCCUCCUGCGUGCCAGCAUUAACAGAAAUGAAACUGCAUGGGCUGAGGCCAUCAGGAUCAGCAGCUUUCCCUCUUCUGAUUACAGCUCCUCUCUGCAAAAAUGAGCUGCUGAGAGUAAGGCAUUUCCAGGCUUCAUGUUUCUGUGUAGUGAACUGUGUGGCUGACAAGAGCAGAGCAGUUUUACCCACCCAGAGUUUAUGGACAGCCCCGUGCCCUGGCAGGGCCUGAUCCUGCCACCGGCUGCUCUCUCCCAGCACUGGGACAGCAGCAGCCAACCCUGCCCCCCUGCAGUCCCAGAUGUGACUUUGAUGGCUGUCACAUGUGUCCCUGGCAGCCAUGGGGGGACCGUGAGGGUCACACUGAGCCCCUUGCACCCCUGGGGUCAGAGGCAGCCAAAGCAGGCAUUGACACUGGAGUGCAGAGGGGUGCGGGGUGAUGAUUUACAGCUCUGGCCUUAUGUGUGUGUAUGUACACCUCUAGAUCUCCUGCCAUGCUGGAGGAUUUCCACUGCCCACAGAAAAACCCUUACAGGUGAGGUUUGUAUUUCUUACUUUGCUCAGAAAGGCUGGAGCCCCUUUAUCCCAGAAGUCUGACACCAGAAAAAUGUGCUUGAUCCUUCCAGACUCAUCGUUCCCCUUUCCCUCCUCCCGAGUUCCUUCCUGUUUAACAACCUUUUUGCCCUCUCAAGCAGUCUUUACUGGCUAGUUGCUUUCCCAUGCUGUUUUACAUGCUUUGAUUCUUUGCUGCCCAUUUUGGGAUGCAAAAUUAAGCAAUGAUGACCUGAAAUGUGAGGCACCAGGCUCAGGUUUUGGACUUCAGCUGCUGUCUUCACUCCUGGAAGAUGUCAGCUCAGUUCCCUCCAGACUGAAAUAACAGCUAAUCUCACUACAAAAUGACAUCUGCAGGCAUGUUCCUCCACACCCAGCUCUUGUGGUUCUUCUCUUGCAUGUUAUUCCUCUGUUAUAUACUGAGCACCAUCAGGACCUAUUUUAUAUUCACCUAAAUUAAAUCUUGUCCCAUUUAAAUGUUCCCAACUGUCUAAGAUAUCCCAGGCUAAUUCACAUUUUGUCUUUGUGUUUUCCAUCUGUCUUCCAUCAUUGUUCCACAAACAUGAUCAACAUUAUAAUUUAUUUCCUUUUCCUCCUUCCUCCCUCUCCCACCGCCCUUUCCCAGGUUUUUAAUAGUAGCCAGUUAAAGGCUGAUGUGCUCUUUCCUCUGCUGAAUGCCUCGUGCUCUGUGGAGGGGCUCAUGAAUGAUUCAGUUGUUUAGGCUCUAGCUGGCAGUCCUGGCAGGAUUAUUCAAAAGAAACAUUUGAGGUUUGUCUACAGUUCCAGAUUGAAAAAUCCUGAACCCCAAAACAGGGAGCAGAGCCCUACAUCAUGAAACAGUGAAGAAGGUUGCAUAUGUAUUAAAUACAUUUUUCACAUAUAUUUUCCAGUUCACUUACCACAGGUAAUGUGACAGGAUCAGGCUAUUAAAAUCAUAGUUACAACAAAUGUGGGCUCUUGGCCCCCUUUACACCAAAAAACCAACUCUGCCUUCAGGGAGUGAACUGAAUUUAAACAGACGUGGGCGAGGAGAGGCAGCAUUUCACAAGCAGAGCCGUGCGUUGGUGGGGAUGUGGCUACGGCUCUGACUGGAAUACUGGAGUUGCGUCCCCUGUCUGCCUGGAUGCUUGAGGACACCUCUUGUACCGGGGUUUUGGCAGAGCUCAUGACCCCUUUGGUGAGAUGAACAGCUCAGAUUGUGCUGGUGCUGGGUGGGAAUGGCAGAGCAGACAGCAGUGCAGUAAAUGUUCAUCCUGCACCUCCUGCGUGAGAGCUGAGCUGCUUCUCACCUUUGAGCCCCCCACCAUGGCCUGCUCAGCACGAUGGACAAAUGAAUUCCUAGCAGUUUUUUCCUUUUCAUUGUCAUCUUAGAUUGAAAACUUCCUUUUAGUGCCUGUUCAAGCUGUGCCAAGCUCCACAGAGUCCCAGCUGCAACUGCACCUCUUCAGUUCUGCCUGUAAUGAACAGGUCUUGGAGGAGGCAGCAAGCCACAGCCCCCUCAGGUGCUCCCACCUGCCCCACACACAGACCCUGCAGGUAGGGGCAGCCUGGCUGACAUCACCCUCUGGGCAGGGGUCAGGAGCAACGGGCUGUAAUUAAAGCAAUUAUGGUUUUAAUAAAGCAUAAUUGAUCUAA